UAAUAAGUGUUUUAUGGCACUUUUUAAAUCCAUAUCCACCUUGUGUAGCGAUGUCAGUCGAUCUUCUUCAUGGAGAUCGACCAAACAUCAACCUUUAUCUUUUAACAUCUUUGUCUGAAAAAUAUUAUGAAUAAACAAUUCAAAAUA
rnacentral:misc_RNA from 1 species